UACGGGGGGGGCAAGCGUUGUUCGGAAUUACUGGGCGUAAAGGGCUCGUAGGCGGCCAACUAAGUCAGACGUGAAAUCCCUCGGCUUAACCGGGGAACUGCGUCUGAUACUGGAUGGCUUGAGUUUGGGAGAGGGAUGCGGAAUUCCAGGUGUAGCGGUGAAAUGCAUAGAUAUUGUCAAGAACACCGAUUGCGAAGGCAGCUUACUAGACUGUAACUGACGCUGAGGCACGAAAGUGCGGGGAUCAAACAGG
rnacentral:rRNA from 1 species